UACGAAGGGGGCUAGCGUUGCUCGGAAUCACUGGGCGUAAAGGGCGCGUAGGCGGCGUUUUAAGUCGGGGUGAAAGCCUGUGGCUCAACCACAGAAUGGCCUUCGAUACUGGGACGCUUGAGUAUGGUAGAGGUUGGUGGAACUGCGAGUGUAGAGGUGAAAUUCGUAGAUAUUCGCAAGAACACCGGUGGCGAAGGCGGCCAACUGGACCAUUACUGACGCUGAGGCGCGAAAGCGUGGGGAGCAAACAGG
rnacentral:rRNA from 1 species